UACGUAGGUGACAAGCGUUGUCCGGAUUUAUUGGGCGUAAAGAGCGCGCAGGCGGUCGAUCAAGUCGAGUGUGAAAGCCCCCGGCUCAACUGGGGAGGGUCAUUCGAUACUGAUCGACUCGAAGGCAGGAGAGGGUAGUGGAAUUCCCGGUGUAGUGGUGAAAUGCGUAGAUAUCGGGAGGAACACCAGUGGCGAAGGCGACUACCUGGCCUGUUCUUGACGCUGAGGCGCGAAAGCUAGGGGAGCAAACGGG
rnacentral:rRNA from 1 species